UGGGGAAUAUUGCGCAAUGGGCGAAAGCCUGACGCAGCAACGCCGCGUGAGUGAUGAAGGCCUUCGGGUCGUAAAGCUCUGUCGGAGGGAACGAAUGCUCUUGAGGUUAAUAGCCUCGGGAGGUGACGGUACCCUCAAAGGAAGCACCGGCUAACUCUGUGCCAGCAGCCGCGGUAAUACAGAGGGUGCAAGCGUUGUUCGGAAUCAUUGGGCGUAAAGGGCGUGUAGGCGGUUUGUUAAGUCAUGUGUGAAAUCCCUCGGCUCAACCGGGGAACGACGCAUGAAACUGGCAAGCUAGAGUGCAGAAGGGGCAAUCGGAAUUCUUGGUGUAGCGGUGAAAUGCGUAGAUAUCAAGAGGAACACCUGAGGUGAAGACGGGUUGCUGGGCUGACACUGACGCUGAGGCGCGAAAGCCAGGGGAGCAAACGGGAUUAGAUACCCACGUAGUCCCUGAGCGGGCUGGCAAGGCGCAU
rnacentral:rRNA from 1 species